GAUGAACGCUGGCGGCGUGCCUAAUACAUGCAAGUCGAGCGAACGGACGAGAAGCUUGCUUCUCUGAUGUUAGCGGCGGACGGGUGAGUAACACGUGGAUAACCUACCUAUAAGACUGGGAUAACUUCGGGAAACCGGAGCUAAUACCGGAUAAUAUUUUGAACCGCAUGGUUCAAAAGUGAAAGACGGUCUUGCUGUCACUUAUAGAUGGAUCCGCGCUGCAUUAGCUAGUUGGUAAGGUAACGGCUUACCAAGGCAACGAUGUAUAGCCGACCUGAGAGGGGAUUCGGCAACACGGGAACGGGGACAGGUUCCGAACUCCAAGGGAGGGCGGAGUUGGGGAAUCUUCCGCAUUGGGCGAAGGCCUAACGAGGCAAGGCCGCUGGGGGAAGGAGGGUCUUGGGUUCGAAAAACCCUGUAAUUGGGAAGAAACAUAGGUGUAAGAAACGGUGCACAUUUGAACGUUACCAAAUCAGAAGGCCACGGCAAACUACGG
rnacentral:rRNA from 1 species